UCCAAAGAAUCGGACCACCGAGGAAGUCUUUUCAUAAACCCUGAACUCAGCUGGACUUCAAUCUGGAUCAUUCUAUGUCACUUCAACACAUUUUCAGGACAUCUUGCGCACUUCAGUCUAAAAGUGAAAAACGAAUAAAGAAUAAAUGAUUAUUAGACACAGAGUCAAGCUACAAUGACCUCAUGUGAAGGAUUUUCAAUAUUGUGAAAUAACCCAAAGUUGAGGUCCAAAGUUAUGGACCAAUGAAAAUAGUACAAAAAAGUAUUUUUGUCAGAUUUCCAGAGCGCGUGACCCAAGAACCAAUGCUUAUCUGUGACGAAUCAUUAAUGAUGUGAACAGUCUAUGUUCAUAGCUCUAAGCUGAUCUAAUUACAGGGAGCUGAGACAUAUGCUAAGUAGUUUAAUGAAGGACUAAACAUGUUCCAGACCCAAACACACACUGACUUUUUUCCAAUUUUGGGGGUCUGGCAUGUCCACCAGAUAGGAUGUAUAGCAGAUAUUUUUCAUUAUUCUGAGAGAGUAGGUGGAGCUAUAUUACUGUACCAUAUUUCAGAUUCCUACUGUAUGUGAUGGAGUUCCUGAGAUAUUGGAAGCUGAAAAUGGAAGAAAAAUAAGGACAGAUGGAAAACGACACAUACGACACUAUCUAAAUUGUCCAGAUCACAAAAGGUUUUCAUCCAAUCAAACUAAGAACGAACAAUGUGCCUAUUGAAUAAUCAUGGACCAAAGUGCAUCUGGAGUCUGAUGUUAACGUCAUUAAUUUUCAACACAGAAAAUAGGGAAUGAUCACGAGCAAAUGUGAGUUUAAAACAACAAAGAGAGGAACAGUAGAUUCAGAUAAACUAACAUGUGAAUCAUAAACAUGGGAUGUAAUAUCUUAUAAUGUGUGACAACAUCUGGGAAAGAAAUUGAGUCUAAUGGACGGAAACCGAACACACGAUGGAGGGCUUUAAUGUCUCUGCUUUCCAUCAAGAUGCUGCGAUACCAAACCGUCCCAUGUGGAACGUUGCCAUCACACUGAGACCUGUACCCAUGUCUGCUCUACUGCAGCAGCUCUCCAGACCCAAACCCACCCAUCCAGACCACCUCAGCAACAGGCCGAGUGCAGCUUCCAUCGUCUCCUCUGCGUCUAAAACAACUAGAACCUCCAGUGGAACCACUCGUCUGUCGCUGCCCAAACUGAAGGAAAACAAAAUCUGUCACGAUCUCGGACGACCUGAGGAGUCCAUCUGGACUAUUUCAAAGGCAGCAAAAAAAGCUUCGUCCAGCGUUCGUGUGGAGAUGCUUUCAGAGCCCAAGCAGCUUUCCAAAGACUACGUUCCACCACGAGAACCAGAGUGGAGCCCAAAAAAACCAUCAAACCUCGAUAGAAAAAGAAUUCUUUUUGCUUGAUGUGGUCACUUGAAUGAAUACGAGUGGAAGCAAUAGAGCUUCCAUGAUUCCAGAGCGAUUAUCGUAUGUUACUGUUGUGUUAUAAUCUCUCUUUAAAAAUACAGUUUUAAACUUGCCUUGUAGUUUUAAGGCCACAUGCAGCCCUUUGACUAAAGUAAACCCACAGAAUGACUGCAAAAACACACAAAAUGAAUCAAAAUACAAAUAAAAUUAGCAAAAGAACAUAGAAAAAUCA
ensembl:lncRNA theg spermatid protein like